rnacentral:sRNA from 1 species
CUGUAUAAAAUACAUAUGCCACAUUGCGUGAAAUAUAUUAAUAAUAUUAUACGUUCGCACGUAUAUAAUUAUUUAGUAUGUUAACGCAUAUGACGGUUCCGUGAUAUGAUGGUUUGCACGCUUGUCGUGUAUAUAUUAUGUUGCGGUCCGUUUAAAUAUUGUCUAACGACACACGUUGAUUAUAAUUUAUAUAUCAUACGACAAUGUUAGAGAUUAUCAAUAAUAUUUGUCGAACGAUCGACGGUGUUACCGCUGAUGCGCUUUACGGCGUAAGGCGGGACGCUUUCGACUCUUCGAGUUAAAAGAGUGUUAUGUAACAGUAUCACACAUACGACGAGAGGGUUGAUGGCGUGUGCAUGUUUUUUUUUUUAAUUAAAAUUAAACGAGUUCAACACCGUUCACAUGUCGCGAGACGCAUAAAUAUUAUCUAUCUCUAUAUAACACUUGACGUAUACACAAUGAUAUAUAAGCCUUAAAUCAUCGACAGUAGGCGGACUCGACGUCCGAAGAGCGCAUCGACGCCGUCGUCGUUAUCGAUCGUUAUUAUUUUAAAAAAUGUAACGCGUCGUAGCGGUUGCGUCGUCGUAACGCUGACGGAUAUCGCGUCUGCCUCAUUUUUUUAUCGUUGGCCUCAGAUCAGGGAGGAUCACCCGCCGAAUUUAAGCAUAUUAGUAAGCGGAGGAAAAGAAACUAACUAGGAUUUCCUUAGUAGCGGCGAGCGAACAGGAAAGAAGCCCAGCACUGAAUCCCGCCGUUGUUCAGGCGGCGGGAGAUGUGGUGUUCGGGAGGUUCCGCUUUCUCGUCGCGAUCGCUCCUGUCCAAGUUCGUCUUGAACGGGGCCGUUUUCCCGUAGAGGGUGCCAGGCCCGUAGCGACGGAGGAUCGCGGCGAGAGGGACUCUCCUUAGAGUCGGGUUGCUUGAGAGUGCAGCCCUAAGUGGGUGGUAA